rnacentral:rRNA from 1 species
AUUGAACGCUGGCGGAAUGCUUUACACAUGCAAGUCGAGCGGCAGCGCGGGGCAACCUGGCGGCGAGCGGCGAACGGGUGAGUAAUACAUCGGAACGUGCCCAGACGUGGGGGAUAACUACUCGAAAGAGUGGCUAAUACCGCAUACGAUCUAAGGAUGAAAGCGGGGGAUCGCAAGACCUCGCGCGUUUGGAGCGGCCGAUGGCAGAUUAGGUAGUUGGUGGGGUAAAGGCUUACCAAGCCCGCGAUCUGUAGCUGGUCUGAGAGGAUGAUCAGCCACACUGGGACUGAGACACGGCCCAGACUCCUACGGGAGGCAGCAGUGGGGAAUUUUGGACAAUGGGCGAAAGCCUGAUCCAGCCAUUCCGCGUGCAGGAUGAAGGCCCUCGGGUUGUAAAGCUCUUUUGUUGGGGAAGAAAAGCAGUUGGUUAAUACCCGAUUGUUCUGACGGUACCCCAAAGAAUAAAGCACCGGCUAACUCCCGUGCCAGCAGCCGCCGGUAAGGCUAACG